rnacentral:rRNA from 1 species
UUGGAGGGCAAGUCUGGUGCCAGCAGCCGCGGUAAUUCCAGCUCCAAUAGCGUAUAUUAAAGUUGUUGCAGUUAAAAAGCUCGUAGUUGAAUUUCGGGAUUAGUACGUUGGUCGUGCCUUCGGUACGUACUGGUGUUACUGAUUCCUACCUUCUGACGAACCAUCAUGUCAUUAAUUUGGUGUGGUGGGGAAUCAGGACUGUUACUUUGAAAAAAUUAGAGUGUUUAAAGCAGGCUCGCGCUUGAAUACAUUAGCAUGGAAUAAUGAAAUAGGACGUUGACCCUAUUUUGUUGGUUUCUAGGAUUGACGUAAUGAUUAAUAGGGAUAGUUGGGGGCAUUAGUAUUCAAUUGUCAGAGGUGAAAUUCUUGGAUUUAUUGAAGACUAACUACUGCGUAAGCAUUUGCCAAGGAUGUUUUCAUUAAUCAAGAACGAAAGUUAGGGGAUCGAAGACGAUCAGAUACCGUCGUAGUCUUAACCAUAAACUAUGCCGACUAGGGAUCGGAUGAUGUUAUUUUUAAUGACUCAUUCGGCACCUUACGGGAAAC